rnacentral:lncRNA from 1 species
UCAAGUUCAACAUCUUCAUCUGCUACACUUGAAGAAUGAACUGAAGAAAAGAAACAGUUAUGUAUCAGAAGAACACAUUGUUUCAAUUGAAGUAAACACUACAGACUAACAAUCUACUACGUAGAAUCUGCCUCACCUUUUCUCUUCUUCUUCUUCUUACUUGGUGACGUGGAGUCUUCUUUAGUCUUCCUUCUUGAGGCCUUCUUUCGUGAAAUUUUGCUAGAUGGAGAAUCUGAGUCUUUUUCACCAGGAACUGCAUCAGAAUCGAUUUCUAUUUCUGUUGACUGAGUCUUGGUUAAAUCCACCCGCCCAGGCCCGUCACUCAUUGACAAGCUGGAACCCGAGGAUAUAGCCACUGGGGAAUAAGUUGGAGCCUGCAGACAUCUAGAGUUCAGCAUAUAUCUAGCUUGGCCAUGGGGAGAAUUAAAUGUUCAAACGACACGGAAAGGGCCAAAAAUAGGAAUUAUAGACAUGAACUUAUAUUCAAACUUGAGACAUUAUCUCGAAGACUACCUGGAAACAGUGAAGCCAAUCAGGGGAAUCCUCCCGGGAAUUGUUCAUUUUGGGCUCUCUGCAGAAAUUUGAGCAAAUCGC